AUUGAACGCUGGCGGCAGGCCUAACACAUGCAAGUCGAGCGGAUGAAGGGAGCUUGCUCCUGGAUUCAGCGGCGGACGGGUGAGUAAUGCCUAGGAAUCUGCCUGGUAGUGGGGGAUAACGCCCGGAAACGGGCGCUAAUACCGCAUACGUCCUGAGGGAGAAAGUGGGGGAUCUUCGGACCUCACGCUAUCAGAUGAGCCUAGGUCGGAUUAGCUAGUUGGUGGGGUAAAGGCCUACCAAGGCGACGAUCCGUAACUGGUCUGAGAGGAUGAUCAGUCACACUGGAACUAAGACACGGUCCAGACUCCUACGGGAGGCAGCAGUGGGGAAUAUUGGACAAUGGGCGAAAGCCUGAUCCAGCCAUGCCGCGUGUGUGAAGAAGGUCUUCGGAUUGUAAAGCACUUUAAGUUGGGAGGAAGGGCAGUAAGUUAAUACCUUGCUGUUUUGACGUUACCAACAGAAUAAGCACCGGCUAACUUCGUG
rnacentral:rRNA from 1 species